ACUGAAAGGAAUAACAAAAAAUCAUGCACUGACAGUUCUAGCUAGUUUGUGUGGUAUUUUACUCUUCAUCUCAGACAUCCAGAUCACUU